rnacentral:rRNA from 1 species
AUAAGAGGUCCCGCCUGCCCUGUGACCCAAAAAGUUUAACGGCCGCGGUAUUUUGACCGUGCGAAGGUAGCGCAAUCACUUGUCCUUUAAAUGAGGACCUGUAUGAAUGGCAUAACGAGGGCUUAGCUGUCUCCCCUGUCCAGUCAAUGAAAUUGAUCUCCCCGUGCAGAAGCGGGGAUAACCCCAUAAGACGAGAAGACCCUAUGGAGCUUUAGACAAUCAAACGACCCAAGUAGAACAGCUUUUUAUAAACAAGCUGACCCCCCCUUAAUGGAACCCCCGUUUUAUGUCUUCGGUUGGGGCGACCGUGGGGAAAAGAAAAUCCCCCAUGAGGACCAAAAGCCACCGCUUUACAAAGCCAAGAGCCCACCACUCAAAGCAUCAGAACCUCUGACCCUAAUGAUCCGGCCUAACGGCCGAUCAACGAACCAAGUUACCCUAGGGAUAACAGCGCAAUCCCCUCUCAGAGCCCAUAUCGACGAGGGGGUUUACGACCUCGAUGUUGGAUCAGGACAUCCUAAUGGUGCAGCCGCUAUUAAGGGUUCGUUUGUUCAACGAUUAACAGUCC